AUGUUCAUAACCCUUUGUUGUCCGACUCUGUUGCCUCCGGGGCGACCCUGCCUUCGGGCGGGGGCUCCGGGUGGACACUUCAAACUCUUGCGUAACUUUGCAGUCUGAGUAAACUUAAUUAAUAAAUUAAAACUUUUAACAACGGAUCUCUUGGUUCUGGCAUCGAUGAAGAACGCAGCGAAAUGCGAUAAGUAAUGUGAAUUGCAGAAUUCAGUGAAUCAUCGAAUCUUUGAACGCACAUUGCGCCCCCUGGUAUUCCGGGGGGCAUGCCUGUUCGAGCGUCAUUUCACCACUCAAGCCUCGCUUGGUAUUGGGCAACGCGGUCCGCCGCGUGCCUCAAAUCGACCGGCUGGGUCUUCUGUCCCCUAAGCGUUGUGGAAACUAUUCGCUAAAGGGUGUUCGGGAGGCUACGCCGUAAAACAACCCCAUUUCUAAGGUUGACCUCGGAUCAGGUAGGGAUACCCGCUGAACUUAAGCA
rnacentral:rRNA from 1 species